rnacentral:rRNA from 1 species
CAUGAAGCUGGAUUCGCUAGUAAUCGCGCAUCAGCCACGGCGCGGUGAAUAACGUUCCCGGGCCUUGUACACACCGCCCGUCAAGCCAUGGAAGCCGGGAGUGCCUGAAGUACGCGACCGCAAGGAGCGUCCUAAGGUAAAACCGGUGACUGGGGCUAAGUCGUAACAAGGUACC